ensembl:lncRNA
GUUUGAGAGUGAUUUGUGAGCAAUCGGAGCCACUGCUUUGCAGCGCAGUCCGUGGGGUAUAUCCACAUUCACCCCUUGGAGUGAUUUGUUUGGCCAAAGAGCUUCCAUCGCCCCACUGCUUCGGAAGGGCAAAGGGAUCCCAUCAGACCCGGCCCCGAAAUACGCUCCAUUUCCAUUCAGGAUCCUUAGAAUUGGAAACAGCACAACAACCUGAGCCCCCAAAGCUGAGGGACCCUACGGCAGAAUGCUUGGAACACCCCUCAUGCUUUGCAGUGAUGCAAAACCCAAAGGACCAAUGCAGCAAACCGUCCCGUUAGCAAAGCAGUGAUGCAGAACCCAAAGCCCAGGGCAGCAAACCCACCCCACUGUCUUUGCAAUGGUGCAAAACCCAAAGGCCCAACCCACACAUGUCCUACAGCUGCACCGGGUGCAGCAAACACACCCCACUGACGUUGCAAUGGUGCAAAACCCAAAGGGUCGAUGCCACAAACCCACCCCAUUGCCUUUGCAGUGGUGCAAUACCCGAAGAGCCAAUGCAACAAACCCACCCCAUUGCCUUUGCAGUGGUGCAGUACCCGAAGAGCGGACCCACAUAUAUCCCACAGGCACACCGGGUGCAGCAAACACACUCCAUUGGCUUUGCAACGGUGCAAAACCCAAAGGUCUGACCCACAACGUGUCCUACAGACACACUGCAUGCAGCAAACACACCCCACUGCACUGCAAUGGUGCAAAACCCAAAGGACCAAUGCAGCAGACCGCCCCACAGGCACUGCAAUGGUGCAAAACCCAAAGAGCCGAUGCAACAAACCCAAACCAUUCGCUCUGCAGUUUAGGAUGGAGAGAUUGAUGCACCCGGGGCAGACAGUGACCUCCUCAGCCCCACACCUAUGGGGCUGCCGCUGUCCAAGCAUCAGCACUAUGGGGUUGGAUCGCUCCUAUGGUGCCGAUGUCCCCAUUCCGGCUGCCAGGACUGCCGCUCUUCGGACACAGCACCGCAGAGGACGGUUCCCACAGUGCACCCAUUGGGAUCCACACC